rnacentral:lncRNA from 1 species
ACUCGUCACUGUUUGUAAUCUCUCUCCUCUUCUGGGAACGCGCUCGCUGAAACUUUCUCGGGAAAAAGAAUAAAGGUGGUUUCCAGAUUCUCGGAUAAUUAUCAUUUAUCAACGAGUAGAUCUUAAACGAAUCGGUUUCGAUUUUUCUCCGUAUCGGUUGAUUCAUCGCUUCACGGAUUUUUGAUUCCGAGGUAUGAACCAUUUUUCUAAUUUUAGAUCUCUGUGAAGAUUCGAUUGAUUUGUUAUGCUCUUCCGAUCAUGAACGAUUAGUUGUAUCUGUUCAAUGAUCGGUGAAGGUGAGUAGAAACUUAGAUUCUCUGUGGAGGUUCCUGGAUGCUCGUUAAGAUGAUUCGAGAUUUCUAUUUAGUGAUAAACAAUGGAUUAGUAUCAGUAUGAAGCCGUUACUUCGUUGAUGAUGGAUUAAGAUAUCUAGAUCUUCUCUCAGAUGUAUAAGUGUGAGAACUAACCUAACCUAUAAUUAACUUCAAAUUAGUCAAAUGAAUGAAUCUUUGCAUAACUUAAUUAGGCCAGGCUGUUUUGGCUUUCGAUAAGGACGUUGACCUGAAACUUUAUUUGUGGCCGUUGUUUAGUUAUGCUUUUUUGAGCUAAUUUUAGCUUAUGAAGAUUUCUAAUUAUAUAGGAUUUAGACCAAACGUUUUCAAAGGUUAUAUAGAGUCUGUUAAGAUAAAAGUUAAAGAGUCUUGUUCAUCAUCCAUACAAGAGAGCAGAGGCUGUUGGCUUGAACCUUUUUUUUUUUCCUUUCUAAAGGUUAUUUGAUAAAAUUAGAGACUUGUUCAUCAUCCAUACAAGAGAGGAGAAUUUAACAUUAACGUUUUUUUUUCUUUCUUUAAAGGUAAAAUUUUUUUUGUUUGAUUUGAAGAUUUUACAUCUUGUUUAAUCUGUGGUUAAAUUGGAAUAAUGAUUUCUUUGGUCAUUGUUCAUUCAGGUUCUUUGCGGUAAUGCGAAUGAGAGGGUAACCUAAAGGUGGUUUGGGAUUGGUUUAAGUUCAGUAUGAAUCCUUGAGAGAUAUUGCUUUGGCAAAGAUGUGAAUUUACAAAACCUUUGUUUUCAGAGUUCCUGAAUUCGUGCAGGGAACUUGGUCUCUUUAAAGUAUACACGGAACAAGAUUAUAAAGUUUUGAGUUCUGAGAU